AAAUAAACGUCCUCACAAGCGAAAAUUUAUCUUGUAAAUUAUAAUGGACAUCCCUUGGUUUGAAACAUCGAUUGCAACACCAUAUGGUGAAACAAAAACAUCUUCAUAUUUUAUUCAAUCCUUUAUAUCAAAUGCAGUGUUCAGUUAUAUUUUAACCACAUAUACAGAGUUUUAAGGAGAAUAUAAUCAUCAACGAUUAAUCACGAAAUUAACACGAUGUCCUCGCAGAGAAUGACGUUACUUUGCACGGUUCUAAUAUUGUCAUACGCAGUACAGUGUCUAUCACUUCCGACAAAAACUUAUGCAACACAGACAGAUGUCGUCAACAACAAAUUUGGGAUGAGAGCGGGAAGAUAUCCAAACAAUGAGGCUCCCCAAAACACUGCUACGAUCAAGCGCGAUUUCAUUAUAUCGUAUAUUGGUCUAGGAGGAGGUGGAAGACGUUAAUAGUGGAUCCCUCUUCAAUGACUGUCAAUGUUUUCAUGACCGCUGUUGUAUUCGUUGUACUUUACGUGGGUCUCUCUUUUGGAAUGUUUUGUAUUCUUUAUGCGUUUAUAACUUGCUGACAUGUGUGUAAUUUCCUUAAAGAUGGAAGUCAUUCAUAUGAGUUAUAAUUCAACAAAAGGCAUCCGUCAAAACAGUCAGUACGAUCCAAGUUCUUUGUAAAGCUUUAAUCACUGAAAUAUCUAUGUUGUGUUUUUAUGAGGCAAUACAUAUAUUGAAUUGAGA